CCUUGAUUAUCUUCCCUAUAUCUGUCACUCCCCUUGGUUCUUUCCUCAGGUUUUAUUGACUCUGCCUCAUGACACACCUGGACUCCAUGUCACGUUCUUUCAAAAUCGAACCCAGAAGCAGACCAGGACAACGAGAGUAGGAAGAAGGGAAUGGAUGUCAGGUCCGGGCUUAUGAAGAGGAGAGAUGAUGAUCAGGACCAGGUGUGCAGAUAGCUAAUGGGAUACAGCGCACUCGUUACCGGUGGUUCCAGCCCUGAAUGCUGAUUGGCUGACAGCCAUGGUAUAUCAGACCAUAUACCACAGCCAAACGGAGGGCAGUGUAACAUCCUCUGAGCUGAGGAUUCCUGGAGAAGGAAUGUAGCGUUCCUGCUAGAACAUACGAACAUACGCACAGGAAGUAGUUCCUGCUCAAAACCCGAACAGGAAGACAUCCUUCUUACGGGCUGUGGGAUCUGAUUAAAUGUUGUUGUUUAACGUUUUUUAAAUUAUUUUUUAUUA